AUUGAACGCUGGCGGCAGGCCUAACACAUGCAAGUCGAGCGGAUGAAGGGAGCUUGCUCCUGGAUUCAGCGGCGGACGGGUGAGUAAUGCCUAGGAAUCUGCCUGGUAGUGGGGGAUAACGUCCGGAAACGGGCGCUAAUACCGCAUACGUCCUGAGGGAGAAAGUGGGGGAUCUUCGGACCUCACGCUAUCAGAUGAGCCUAGGUCGGAUUAGCUAGUUGGUGGGGUAAAGGCCUACCAAGGCGACGAUCCGUAACUGGUCUGAGAGGAUGAUCAGUCACACUGGAACUGAGACACGGUCCAGACUCCUACGGGAGGCAGCAGUAGCGAAUAUUGAACAAUUGCCCAAAUCCUGAUCCAUCCAUGCCUCGUGUUUGAAGAAUAUCUUCGGAUUGUAAAGCACUUUAAGUUGAGAGGAAGAGCAGUAAGUUAAUACCUUGCUGUUUUGACGUUACCAACAGAAUAAGCACCGGCUAACUUCGUG
rnacentral:rRNA from 1 species